GACGGAGGGUGCUAGCGUUGUUCGGAAUUACUGGGCGUAAAGGGCGCGUAGGCGGCCCGUCGAGUCGGGUGUGAAAGCCCGGGGCUCAACCCCGGAAUUGCAUUCGAGACUGCCUGGCUCGAGUGCCGAAGAGGGUGGCGGAAUUCCCGGUGUAGGGGUGAAAUCCGUAGAUAUCGGAAGGAACACCAGUGGCGAAGGCGGCUUCCUGGUCCAACACUGACGCUGAGGCGCGAAAGCGUGGGGAGCGAACAGG
rnacentral:rRNA from 1 species